rnacentral:lncRNA from 1 species
GCUGAAACAAGCACACUUCCAACAGAUGUCAAGAAGAUCACAACCACAGUUGAAAUGAUAAGCAGACCCAGCGUCUCCCUCUCAGAAAACUGCCGUCCAAAUAUAACCAAAGGCGGAUCGGAAGGGCGGAAAAGGUAAAGGAAAAGCCAAGCUGCGAGGAGGCCGGUGAGGACAAGAAGGGAAAAAGGGUUUGUAAUGAGUGAAAAUGCAAGAACAACGGCAAGGGCAGAGAGGUAAUUGAUACGGAAGUAGGUGUAGUUUUUGCGGAUACGGAGAGUGGCGUCAGAGAACGAUUCCGGUUUGGAAAAAGAGAAUAUUGUUCAUAACAGCAUUACCAACAGAUGUCAAGAAGAUCACAACCACAGUUGAAAUGAUAAGCAGACCCAGCGUCUCCCUCUCAGAAAACUGCCGUCCAAAUAUAACCAAAGGCGGAUCGGAAGGGCGGAAAAGGUAAAGGAAAAGCCAAGCUGCGAGGAGGCCGGUGAGGACAAGAAGGGAAAAAGGGUUUGUAAUGAGUGAAAAUGCAAGAACAACGGCAAGGGCAGAGAGGUAAUUGAUACGGAAGUAGGUGUAGUUUUUGCGGAUACGGAGAGUGGCGUCAGAGAACGAUUCCGGUUUGGAAAAAGCGGACCGGUCGAGGAGUUCGGACCAGGGACGGCGGUUAGCGAAACCGGUUUGAACUGUGGUGGAGAUGUGGUUGAUGAAUGAACGGAAUGCUGGUGUUGGGGCGAUUUGUUGCGCCGUAUCGGUGGAGGGUGGUACGUUGGUUGUUGGGAGGACUGCUGGUGAUGAUGCGGCUGCCAUUUUUGUGCUUUUGUGUGUGUGUGAGAGAGAGAAAGAGUAAAUAAGGAGCAAUUUAUACAAAGGUUGGGAUUUUUUCUUAAUUUAUUCGUCGGUGCUAUAUAAGUUUUUUUUUC